rnacentral:rRNA from 1 species
AUACGGAGGGAGCAAGCGUUAUUCGGAAUCACUGGGCGUAAAGGACGCGUAGGCGGGUUCGUAAGUCAGGUGUGAAAUCCUACAGCUCAACUGUAGAACUGCACUUGAAACUACAGACCUAGAGUAUGGAAGGGGCAGAUGGAAUUAGUGGUGUAGGGGUAAAAUCCGUAGAUAUCACUAGGAAUACCGAAAGCGAAGGCGAUCUGCUGGGACAUUACUGACGCUGAGGCGUGAAAGCGUGGGGAGCAAACAGGAUUAGAAACCCUAGUAGUCC